UACGAAGGGGGCUAGCGUUGGUCGGAUUUACUGGGCGUAAAGGGCGCGUAGGCGGAUUUUUAAGUCGGGGGUGAAAUCCCGGAGCUCAACUCCGGAACUGCCUUCGAUACUCAAAGUCUGGGGCACGGUAGAGGUGAGUGGAAUUCCGAGUGUAGAGGUGAAAUUCGUAGAUAUUCGGAGGAACACCAGUGGCGAAGGCGGCUCACUGGACCGUUGCUGACGCUGAGGCGCGAAAGCGUGGGGAGCAAAUAUG
rnacentral:rRNA from 1 species